rnacentral:rRNA from 1 species
AGAGCGGCGCACGGGUGCGUAACGCGUAUGUAACCUACCCUAUACAGGGGGAUAGCCCGGAGAAAUCUGGAUUAAUACCCCAUGGCACUGCGAAUCAGCAUUGGAUUGCAGUUAAAGAUUUAUCGGUAUAGGAUGGACAUGCGUCUGAUUAGCUAGUUGGCGGUGUAACGGACCACCAAGGCGACGAUCAGUAGGGGUUCUGAGAGGAAGGUCCCCCACACUGGCACUGAGAUACGGGCCAGACUCCUACGGGAGGCAGCAGUAGGGAAUAUUGGGCAAUGGACGAGAGUCUGACCCAGCCAUGCCGCGUGCAGGAAGAAGGCGUUCUGCGUUGUAAACUGCUUUUAUCUGGGAAGAAAAGGCCCAUGCGUGGGACAUUGCCGGUACCAGAUGAAUAAGCACCGGCUAACUCCGUGCCAGCAGCCGCGGUAAUACGGAGGGUGCAAGCGUUGUCCGGAUUUAUUGGGUUUAAAGGGUGCGUAGGCGGUUGAUUAAGUCAGCGGUGAAAGUUUUGGGCUCAACCCAGAA